GAGGGUAGAACUCGAUAGGUUGAGUGUCUCACUUUUAAUGAGCAUGGUCCCAGUUCAAGUCUGGGUACCCUUA